CCUACGGGAGGCUGCAGUGGGGAAUAUUGCACAAUGGGCGCAAGCCUGAUGCAGCCAUGCCGCGUGUGUGAAGAAGGCCUUCGGGUUGUAAAGCACUUUCAGCGGGGAGGAAGGCGUUAAGGUUAAUAACCUUGUCGAUUGACGUUACCCGCAGAAGAAGCACCGGCUAACUCCGUGCCAGCAGCCGCGGUAAUACGGAGGGUGCAAGCGUUAAUCGGAAUUACUGGGCGUAAAGCGCACGCAGGCGGUCUGUCAAGUCGGAUGUGAAAUCCCCGGGCUCAACCUGGGAACUGCAUUCGAAACCGGGAGGCUAGAGGCUUGGUGAGGGGGGUAGAAUUCCAGGUGUAGCGGUUAAAUGCGUUGAGAUCUGGAGGAAUACCGGUGGCGGAGGCGGCCCCCUGGACAAAGACCGACGCUCAGGUGCGAAAGCGUUGGGAGCCAACAGGGUUAGGUACCCGUGUAGUC
rnacentral:rRNA from 1 species